CAGGAAACAAAUUUAUUUUUCAAGACUUCUGAGACAGUUGUAUCGGUGCUAUAUAGCAUUUAAAUGACAGCACACUCUGUCCUCACUGAUAACGGAUGGCUGUUAGAAACACUUUUCUUCUCCUUAGGAGAUAGAGUGUCUACACUAGUGACUCUCAAGCCUGGCACAUACUAGGACCACCUUGGAAGCUGGAAAAAUAUACUGCUGCCUGGUCUCCAGGUCAUUCGAUGCUGUCACCCCUUCCACAUAAAUAGCACAUCUGCUCAAGACAUAGAGUUUAUUUUGAAGGACACAGAUCUGGAAACACUUUGUCCCUGGAUGGACUUUCAGCCAAAUGAGGAUCUCCAUAGGAAUGGAAGAAAUCACACGCUCUGCUCCAGGAUCCUGCAUUUGCCGGGUCACAUUGCUUUACUUUGGAUUUCUACCAUCCAAGAGAAGGUCAGUCCAAAGACCUGAGACCUACCAUGGUGCUGCAGAUUGCUGAGCAAUGCCAGGGAAUAUGUCCUCUUGCAUCUUUGCCAGAUGCAUGACUGGAGAAAAUGAGAUGAUUCCUUUUAUAUUUUUCUUUUUAAUUUUUUUCUUUACAAUCCAGGCCUUCAUUGCCUGUUGGUACCUGUUCAACACCAACAGCCAACAAUUACCACUCUUUUUUCUGGCUCGAGUACUUAUUUUUUUAGCUUUUUUUGGUUGUCGUUGUUAAGGAACUGUGUUUAUAGUUCACAUUUUAGAGUUGCAAGGAACCGUAAAGGUCAUAGAGUUGAACCAUCCAAUUUGACCAUGAAGAAAUUGAGGCUCUGAAGUGAAGUGCUUCAUUCCAGUUUCUACAGCUCAUCUCUAGCAGAGGUGAGAGAGGACCCUCACUCCAGACGAGGUGCUCUUUUCUACGCACGUUGUUAUCCCCCUUUCUAUUUUCCCACCUAUUUAUAGUACCCUUCCUCUGGGCUCUCUAAGACAUAAGAUUAUAGGACAUACAGUUCCAAGAAUCCCUGUUUAUGUUUUGUUAGCAGAUGGCCUUCAAAUACUAACCUUUGGUUGCCUAAAGAAUAGCCCAUAUCUUAUUGAUAGAAGUUCUUUAUGCUGAUCUUUAUUUAAUUCACUGUUUCCCAGGAUCCUCAUCCUUUCCAGCUGGUUAUUAAUUAUCAGGCAAUAUCCUCUUGAGCUGUCUCUAUUUUUAAUUACCUUAUUAAUUGUAUUCACAAAAAUUGAUCUCUCUGACAUUCUAAGUCUGACUCACUGAGGAAAUAAGUCUAAUAUUCGCAAGAGACUUCAACAAUCUCACUACCUUAACUUAUUAUUUCCAUUAUGCAGACUGUUAUCACUAGAAGCCAGAUGUGACUGCCUAGUUGAAUGGGCCUUUAUCCUAAUCAUAAUUACAAUGUUCUUUAAGGAUUCUCUGUGGCUCACCUUUCUUGCUUACUCAGACACACAUGAUACUUAUCAGUUCAUUUCUACCCUACCUUCACUCUUUAAUCUUUAACAUAGAAGGAAUUUCCUCCCUCAUAUUAUCCUUGUGGUAAUCUUUUAUUUGCAAUUCAAAGUAAUUACGGUGAGUAAAGAUGAAUGUAUUUUUUAGUUCUUCAUUUUUUACUGUAACACUGCACCCUAAGGGCCUGAUGACCAAUUAAACAUUUAA